rnacentral:rRNA from 1 species
UUGAACGCUGGCGGCAUGCCUUACACAUGCAAGUCGAACGAGGGCUUCGGCCCUAGUGGCGCACGGGUGAGUAACGCGUGGGAACCUGCCCUGUGGUACGGAAUAACUCCGGGAAACUGGAGCUAAUACCGUAUGUGUCCUGUGGGACAAAGAUUUAUCGCCAUGGGAUGGGCCCGCGUAGGAUUAGCUUGUUGGUGGGGUAACGGCCUACCAAGGCAACGAUCCUUAGCUGGUCUGAGAGGAUGAUCAGCCACACUGGGACUGAGACACGGCCCAGACUCCUACGGGAGGCAGCAGUGGGGAAUAUUGGACAAUGGGCGCAAGCCUGAUCCAGCAAUGCCGCGUGAGUGAUGAAGGCCUUCGGGUUGUAAAGCUCUUUCGCACGCGACGAUGAUGACGGUAGCGUGAGAAGAAGCCCCGGCUAACUUCGU